rnacentral:rRNA from 1 species
UUGGGCGUAAGAGCUCGUAGGUCGUUUGUCGCGUCGAUUGUGAAAAUCUGAGGCUCGACCUCGGACCUGCAGUCGAUACGGGCAAACUAGAGUGUGGUAGGGGAGACUGGAAUUCCUGGUGUAGCGGUGGAAUGCGCAGAUAUCAGGAGGAACACCAAUGGCGAAGGCAGGUCUCUGGGCCAUAACUGACACUGAGGAGCGAAAGUGCGGGGAGCGAACAGGAUUAGAUACCCUGGUAGUCCGCACCGUAAACGGUGGGCACUAGUUGUGGGAACCUUCCACGGUUUCCGCGACGCAGCAAACGCAUUAAGUGCCCCGCCUGGGGAGUACGAUCGCAAGAUUAAAACUCAAAGGAAUUGACGGGGCCCCGCACAAGCAGCGGAGCAUGCGGCUUAAUUCGACGCAACGCGAAGAACCUUACCAAGGCUUGACAUAUAGUGAAAAGUGGCAGAGAUGUCAUGUCCGCAAGGGCGCUAUACAGGUGGUGCAUGGUUGUCGUCAGCUCGUGUCGUGAGAUGUUGGGUUAAGUCCCGCAACGAGCGCAACCCUCGUUCUGUGUUACCAGCAUUAAGUUGGGGACUCACAGGAGACUGCCGGGGUCAACUCGGAGGAAGGUGGGGAUGACGUCAAAUCAUCAUGCCCCUUAUGUCUUGGGCUGCACGCAUGCUACAAUGGCCGGUACAAAGUGCUGCGAGAUCGUAAGAUUGAGCGAAUCACAUAAAGCCGGUCUCAGUUCGGAUUGAGGUCUGCAACUCGACCUCAUGAAGUCGGAGUUGCUAGUAAUCGUAGAUCAGCAACGCUACGGUGAAUACGUUCCCGGGGCUUGUACACACCGCCCGUCACGUCACGAAAGU